CAGAGAGAGACAUGCGCGCAUAUCAAUAAGCGGAGGAAAAGAAACUAACAAGGAUUCCCUUAGUAACGGCGAGUGAAGCGGGAAGAGCUCAAAUUUGAAAUCUUCAAGGUUCUACCUUGACGAAUUGUAGUUUAUAGAAGUGUUUUCUGUUAGUGGAGUGGCAAAAGUUCUUUGGAAUAGGACAUCAUAGAGGGUGAGAAUCCCGUAUUUGGUCAUUCCUCCUAGCGUUGUGAUACACUUUCAAAGAGUCGGAUUGUUUGGGAAUGCAGUCCAAAAUGGGUGGUAAAUUUCAUCUAAAGCUAAAUAUUGGCGAGAGACCGAUAGCGAACAAGUACCGUGAGGGAAAGAUGAAAAGAACUUUGAAAAGAGAGUUAAACAGUACGUGAAAUUGUCAAAAGGGAAGCGUUUGACACCAGUGUUGUUUUUCCGAAAAUCAAUUACGAAUGUUUUAGUUUUUGAGGAGUUAUGACUUCAUCGGCUUGCUCCUUUCUUUAUGAAACUUUCUUAAUGCACUUUUCGGUUAACAAGUCAACAGUCAAUUUCUUUUGUUGUAAAAGGGUAUGAGGAAGGUGGCUUUCUUUUCGGAGAAAGUGUUUAUAGCCUUGUGCCUCUGCAAUCGGAGAGAUUGAGGUCUGCAGCGUAGAUCCUUCGGGGUUAGAUACGUUUGUGCUAAGUUAUAGCUUUUCAUAGACAACUUGUUGACUAUGUUUAGUCUUGUAGCUUACUCGCUUACUGCUAUUUUACCUACGCUUAGGAUGUUGAUAGUCACAGCGUGUAC
rnacentral:rRNA from 1 species